AGGUAAACAAAGUUCUCGGAAGAACGGGCUCACAAGGUCAGUGCACGCAGGUGCGUGUGGAAUUCCUGGAUGAGACUACUCGAUCCAUCAUUCGUAAUGUGAAGGGGCCAGUGCGCGAGGGAGACAUCCUCACGCUGUUGGAGUCUGAGCGAGAAGCUAGGAGACUGAGAUAGGAGGCACAAUUCUUCGACAGUGAGGUUCAUCUUAAUGGAAAACCCGAGGCAAUAUUUCUCAAGCUAGCAGUCCCAUCACUGGACACAUGGUUUCUGUGGAGCAGUCUGUUUAAAGUAAACAUGAAAUAAAUCAUUUCUGCUGAAGAAUUUAAAAAGUU